UCUAUGCGAUCAGCAUGUGCAGUAAUAUCCCACAUGACAAUCUGAAACAGAAAUAAAUGUUGUUACAUAUUUUCAGGGUUAAAGAUUUAAAACAUCUAUUUGUAUUGGUAUGCACUUGGAUGAAUCAGUCACCUUGGGGGAUAAUCAAACUCAGCCUACCUCUUAGGUUUGAAAGCUGCACUCACUCCCAAGGCCCUUAGGAGCUGCCCCACGAGAAGAAUUUCAUCCACAGUUUUACCCUAAUGAUUUAAAGUCCAAAUACCCCGCUGCAUGCGAGAGCAUUUCCUAGGACCUGGGAGCUGUAGGAAGUGCAGAGUCACAGGCGUCACCCCAGACGACCAUGACCGAGGCAGA